UGCGCAGGCGGCCAUGUGUGUCAGGUGUGAAAUACCGGGGCUUAACCCCGGAACUGCGCCUGAAACUACAUGGCUAGAGUACUGGAGAGGGUAGUGGAAUUCACGGUGUAGCAGUGAAAUGCGUAGAUAUCGUGAGGAACACCAGAGGCGAAGGCGACUACCUGGACAGUUACUGACGCUCAGGCACGAAAGCGUGGGGAGCCAAAGGGAUUAGAUACCCCUGUAGUCCACGCCCUAAACGGUGCACACUAGGUCUUGGCGGAUUCGACCCCGCCAGGGCCCAAGCUAACGCGUUAAGUGUGCCGCCUGAGGACUACGGCCGCAAGGCUAAA
rnacentral:rRNA from 1 species